CCCUUAGAUGUUCUGGGCUGCACGCGCGCUACACUGACGCACGCAACAGGUGCCUGCUCCGAGAGGACUGGGUAAUCAUUUGAGUGUGCGUCGUGAUGGGGAUAGAAUAUUGUAAUUAUUACUCUUCAACGAGGAAUUCCUAGUAAGCGCCAGUCAGCAGCUUGCGCUGAUUACGUCCCUGCCCUUUGUACACACCGCCCGUCGCUCCUACCGAUGGGUGAUCCGGUGAAUGAUUCGGGCUUCAGCGGCUCCCCUGGGGUGCGCCGGAGAAAGUUUUGUGAACCUUAUCACUUGGAGGAAGGAGAAGUCGUAACA
rnacentral:rRNA from 1 species